GUAUCUUUUCGUUUUGUUUUUGUGUUUUUGUAAUUUGUUUAUCAAAAUGAACUACAGUUAUAAUUGGACAUGCAAGUUACUAAUAAGAGUAUAUAAGAUCGGGUUAUGGUGAAGGUUGUCGCCUGUUUAAACGUUUACACAUGCUGCGUUUGUUUGCAACUAGUAAGGAACCUGUUCAGUGGUUGUUGUGGUUCAUACGUGUUCCUCGUUUCUAGUUUUUUUAUAUAAAGAUUAAACCGUUGGUUUUCCUGUUUGAAUUGCUACAUUAGUCACUUGUGUGUCCUUGAUAGCUUGAUGGUCGGUUUAAGCCAAAGCUCUGUGUUAAAGGUCGUACUUUGACCUAUAAUUGUUUACUUUUUACAUGUUGUGUCCUGGAAGGAGAGUAGUGUCAUUGGCACUCAUACCACAUCUUCUUAUUUCUAUAUAUGUUGCAAAAGUUAUUUCUUUUGGAUGGAUGUGUAUGUUUAAGCGCGGAUUCAUAUAAGAUGGAUUCUUACA
rnacentral:lncRNA from 1 species